rnacentral:misc_RNA from 1 species
GAUGAAGAACGCAGCGAAAUGCGAUAACUAGUGUGAAUUGCAGAAUUCCGUGAAUCAUCGAGUCUUUGAACGCACAUUGCGCCCCCUGGUAUUCCGGGGGGCAUGCCUGUCCGAGCGUCAUUGCUGCCCAUCAAGCACGGCUUGUGUGUUGGGUCGUCGUCCCCCCCUCCGGGGGGGGGACGGGCCCUAAAGGCAGCGGCGGCACCGCGUCCGAUCCUCGAGCGUAUGGGGCUUUGUCACCCGCUCUGUAGGCCCGGCCGGCGCUUGCCGAACGCAAAACAACCAUUCUUUCCAGGUUGACCUCGGAUCAGGUAGGGAUACCCGCUGAACUUAAGCAUAUCAAUAAGCGGAGGA